AGAAUGCUCACUGCUGAGUUGGGCACAAGUCCAGCAAACACAAUUCUUCCUGCCAGUUAUUCAGGGUCUUUGACAGAUUAGGUGGUCUUUUUUCUUCUUCUGCUGCGUCUUUUUUUUCCAACCUCUUAAAAGGCAGUUCAGUUUACCUCUAAGCAAGACAUUAGCUCUGGCUGCCCCAAAUAACAUUUUAAUUGAAGUCUCAGUCCAAACAAAUGCCCAGCCUCUUUAUUAACCCCAACAGUGUAAUUUUUCAACCUAAGACUGAUUCAGGGGCAAACUGUCUCACCGAGGCUGCCACGCAAUGGGACAUGGCAGUUUUCCUCAACCAGUCUCUUUUCUGACCUUGAUUUGAACCUUAAUCUCUUCUAACGAUGUUUUCUUUAUUAGCGUCUCACAGCCGUGGCACAAGACUAAUUUUCCUGGUUUUAGACUAUCAGUUUACAGAGGGAUUUCAUUCCCCUUUUUGCCCCACAAAGUAACCAAGAUUUCACGGACCAAUUUGGGAAAAGGAAGGACAGAAGAGCUCCUUGGCACUGGAACCCUCCUGGUCUGGUGAGGGAGGGAUGAGGGAUGCUCUGAGGACACACAGCCAUCAUCCAAAACUUCCUGAGUUUGGAGCAAGGCAAGAGGUUGGACCAGAGCUUUGGAUCCACGUUGCCUAAAGGAUGGUUCAGACUGUGUGAGCGAGUCACAGAAGGGUCUCAUGGGAACAGAAAGUUUUGAGAGAGUUUACUGUUUGUGCAAGAUGACUGGUUGGGUAAAGAAGUCCAAAGUUUAUGAUCUGCAGAACAAAUAAAACCUGGGCAAAGAUGAGGAGACAGGAAUGAGAGUCUUUGGAUCACAUGACAAGUUCCCGGCAAAGCCUGUGUUCAUCCCAAGUUUUGUGAUUCCAGAGCUGGAAGCGAAGGACUCCAAGAUGGAAAAAAACACACAAUGGAAGGAGUCCAACCUACACCAGAUGUUCGUGAGUCACUGGAGGGCAUUUUCAAGAAUAAGUAAUGACCUGUGAAAUGUCACUGACAGCAGCAACAAUAACAACCCAAAGACAGCAAUGGGAAGGAGGGAGAAUGCUGGGGCUCGCAGUCUCCUACCCGCCCCUGGACAGCCUCAGCAUGGCCAAGUAGAACUGAUCCUGCAUUUCUGAGAAAAAUGCCACCCAGACUUCCUCCUCUCGUGUCACAUAGGAUUACCCACUGUUUCCACUCAUCAGAUGCCCGCAAUUUGGGGACAUUUAGUGGGUCCCUCCUUCCGGCAAAUCCCCUUGCUGGUGUGGUAGGAGCAGUGGUAGAGAUGUGAAGAUGGAGCAGAUGAUGUCCUCUGUGAACGUGCAGAACUCGGCAAUUGCUUCAGGAAGGAAGGGUCUUCAUGAGGAGUCUUAAAUGCAACUGGAAGAAAUUCCAGAUGUUCAAAAUGACAGCCACUGGUCAUGACAGUUGUGUCUCUGAAACUCUGGUGCCACACGCCUCACGGUUGGGAUGCCCCCAGAUGCUCUGCAAGGCCUUGAUCACACCAUCUGAAACACUUGCCUGGGUCAAACAAUUUGCUCGCUGCCAUCCUCUGCUCUGGCAGACAGGAGGCCUGGAGAAGAUGGGGAGUUUGGGGCACUGCCUGUAUCCACACCAGCCACCACCACUCAGCAGUAGCAGUGGAUGUAGAAGAUCACACCAAGGUGGAGAACCCCUCCUGAACCGGAGCUGAUUUCAGCUCCACCAGCAGAGCAGACCACACAGAGGGAGACAAGGCUGCGACCCUUGCCAGCGGAAGCUGCUGGUGGAUGUACUACACAGAGCUGAGAGGCUGAGGAGUGGUGAUGUUGGGGGGGCCUGGGGAGCGGGCUCUUGGAUAGCACUUUGCAGAGGGAUUGGAUGGUCUCCAGCAUCUAGAAGGGUUGCAAGUGAGAUGAAAGGAGAGAUUUCUGCCUGAGAGGAAGAAGCAUGGCACACACAGGUCCCUGGAGAAGAGAGAGAAAAUGGAAGGCACCCAAGGACAGAUGCUUCUCAUGAAGAGGUGUUUAGCUCUUCCAGUGGAGAGGGAGGUGUGUGUUGUGAGCAGAAGAAGCACAUCUCAUCUGUGUAAAAGUGCCCAGAGUUAGAACUCUCCUAAAGUGCUUUGGAACACAAAAGAAAAGAGUAUAUACCUUCCAAGUGACAGAAGAGGGACUGGUGGGUGACGCAACUUGCUAAAUCUUUUUCACUGUUCAUGGCUGCCACUGCUGGGGAAUUGACUUAAAGAAAUGGAUGGCUUCUGUGUGUUUUUGUCCAUUUUGACUUGUAGUACAAGUUUUUCUUUUUUUUCAGGGGUACUGUGGACUAACUUGUGUCCUCCUAAAACUCAUGUUAAGCCCUAAUCCCCAAUGUGACUGUAUUUGGAGUAAAAGUAAGUAAUUAAGGUUAAAUAGGGUCCUAGGGGUGGCACCUUGCUCUAAUAAGAUUAGCGUCCUAAUGAGAAGAGAUACCAGGGAGCUCCUACUCCCUUGCCAUCACGUGAGAACACACAGCGAGAAGGCUGCCAUCUGCAAGCUGGGAGAGGGCUCUCUCCAGAAACAGGACCUGCUGGCACCUUGAUCUGGAAUGCCCCGUCUUCAGAACCAUAAGAAAAUAAAUUCCUGUGUUUAAGCAUGGUCUGUGGUAUUUGGGUAUGUCAGUCUGAGCAGACUAAGAAAGGAGAAAAAAAAAAAAGAAAUGUUCUAAAUAUCUGUAAGCUCAGUCUCCCAUAAGCUGUGCUCAGAGAAGAUUGUAAAGUGGAAGACUGUAAAACUUUGGCUUUCUUUAUGGAGGCUGAGGGAUUAUCCUCAACUGCUCCAACUAAGCCCCAGUGUUUGUAUUUGGGAGGUCAAAAUUUAUUAUGAAAAGCCUGGAUACGUUUUUGAAAAUAAAAAAUUGCUGUACGGAAAGUAGCACUGUAAAAGUAGAGAGUGAAUAAAAGAUGAGAGAAGGAACCUACGGGGGGAAAAAUCCUAUAGCUAGUAAAGAGUAGAAUGCUUGGGCCAACGUUAGUACUGAGUAUUGCCUUAAAAAAAAAAAAAAUCCAUGUUUUCUAAAACCAACUCCAAAUGGAAUCAUAUAAACCCAAAUACUAGAAUCAGGGGAAUUUUCUAGUGAGGGAGAACAUUUUGAUAAUAUUAGUAAUUUAGUUUUCUCAUAAGGAAAUAAAAAGGAAAUUAAUUCAAUGAUUUGUUAUGAAUAGUUACAAAAAUGUACAGUUCCAGAGAUUAGUGGGGAAUACAGUUCCUGCUGGAGGCAGCAAUUCUCUGUUCUGCUGAAGGGGAUGAGUGAUAAUGUUUUAUUUGUGUUUGAGGUGGAAGAGGGGAAUGGGAAGCUCUCUGGCUCCUGUCCCCUUGUCCUGGAAAAAGUACACACAUAUGUGGAAUAUAUUUCCUGCUUUCUUGCCUUAUUGAUUUUCUGUUUUCUUCUUUUAUUCCUUUGGUAAUAUUUGCUUGAAAAUUUUUCCAUCUUUAUUGAGAUAUAAUUGACAUGUAAUAUUGUGUUCUUAAUGUACGAUGUGAUGAUUUGAUCUGUAUAUAUUGCAAUGUGAUUACAGCAAUAAAGUUAGUUAAUACAUCCAUCA